CCUACGGUGAGCAGCAGUGAGGAAUAUUGGUCAAUGGGCGCGAGCCUGACCCAGCCAAGUAGCGUGAAGGAUGACUGCCCUACGUGCGUUAAACUUCUUUUGUGCGGGAACAAUAAUGGUCACGUGUGGCCAGACGAGAGUACCGUACUAAUAAGCAUCGGCUAACUCCGUGCCAGCAGCCGCGGUAAUACGGGGGAUGCAAGCGUUAUCCGGAUUUAUUGGGUUUAAAGGGUGCGUAGGCUGUGAGGUAAGUCAGCGGUGAAAUGCCCCCGCUAAACGGGGUGCAGUGCCAUUGAUACUGGCUGGCUGGAAUGCGGAUGCGGGGGGAGGAAUGGGUGGUGUAGCGGUGAAAUGCAUAGAUAUCACACAGAAAACCGAUUGCGAAGGCAUCUCACGAAUCCGCGAUUGACGCUGAGGCACGAAAGCGUGGGUAUCAAACAGGAUUAGAUACCCCGGUAGUC
rnacentral:rRNA from 1 species